rnacentral:rRNA from 1 species
UACGGAGGAGGCAAGCGUUAUCCGGAAUUAUUGGGCGUAAAGCGUCCGCAGGUGGCACUUCAAGUCUGUCGUCAAAGACCGGGGCUUAACCCCAGAAAGGCAGUGGAAACUGAAGUGCUAGAGUGCAGUAGGGGUAGAGGGAAUUCCCGGUGUAGCGGUGAAAUGCGCAGAUAUCGGGAGGAACACCAAUGGCGAAGGCAGCUCGCUGGGACGUUACUGACGCUGAGGCACGAAAGCGUGGGGAGCAAACAGG